GCCUCCUGCUGGAUGUGGAAGUUCAGCCUUGUAAUCACAACUACUUGAGGCUGUAGUACACUAUGCCCAUCAGGUAUCUGGACUAACUUUGGCAUCAAUAAGGUGACCUCCUGGGAGUGGGGACCACCGGGUUGCUCAAGGAGGGUGAAUUGGCCCAAGUUGGAAACAGAGCAAGUUAAAAUUCUCAUGCUGAUCGGUAGUGGGACUUCACCUGUGAGUAGCCACUGCACUCCAGCCUGGGCAACAUGGCAAGGCCUCAUCUCU
ensembl:misc_RNA Metazoa_SRP Metazoan signal recognition particle RNA